rnacentral:piRNA from 1 species
UGGCUCUAGUACCUUUCAGUCUG